ensembl:lncRNA novel transcript
GAGGCAGCAUGCUGGUCCCUCAGCAGCAUCCUUAUCACGUCAGCUGUGAGAGAAAUAAAACUGUGAGACUGUGAAGUGUAUAAAGGAUUCUACCGCUCUCCCGGGGCUUGGAGACCCACAGAUUGGAGAAAGUAAUCUCCAUCUCAAUCUUCUUUGCCACGUCAUGCAUGCCCUUGAAGCAUUAGAAUUCCUUAAAGCUUCAUGGGAGAAUGCCAUGGGAUGAUGAAGACAGAGAUUGGAGUCAUGCAUCUGCAAGCCAAGAAAUGUACAAGAUUGCUGGCAAACCACCAGAAGCUAGGAGCAGACAAGGAAGGAUCCUCCCCUAAAGGUUUCAGAGGGAGCCAUGGCCUUGCUGACAUCUUGAUUUCAGACUUCUAUCCUCCAGAAUGGGGCCAUCCAUGGAGGGCUGGAUGGUGUCCUCACUCUCCCAUCACACAGCUCUUCUGAUGAUGUUUUUGCUUGUCUUUCUGGAAGUUCGCUCUGAUCCAAAAUUACAUCUGCAAGGGGCAGCUGAAGUCCAUCAGUUCUGUGAAGUCUUCUGGGAGUUGCCUCAGCCUAGAGAUCUCUUCCUCCAUUUCUCCAAAUAUUUCAGUUAGCUCUAAAUGAACAAUUAGCAUCUCCUAAUUGUGCAACUAUUUAAUUUUGGUUUCCUCAACCAAGGAGUUAAUCCCUUUCUGAGGGCAGGUACUGUCAACUUCUUUUGAUUUUUCUACACUGCAUGUGGCCAUCCCAGAUAACUCACUAACAAUAAAUUCUUGAUGACAUGACUCUACAUGGUAAGACGGCACUACUCACUUGCCAAGAGCCAAACAGAUAUUUUGGAAUCAUUUCCCAGAUAGUGAUAAAAAAUGGGCACAGACCAUUUGUAAUCUUUCAUCCCAUCUUCCUUUUGACUAGUGUCAUCCCUGUAAACCAUGAGUGAUCAGGAUUACAUCUCUACAUUCAGCAGGAGUAGAAUAGAAUUUCCAUUUGCACACAAAACUGACUCACUGAGAGCAAUUUAGUGAUCUCAGUAGAUGGGCCUGCUGCAUGGAAAGGCAGCCAACAGAUGGGGAGUGUCCCUAUCUUAGCCAGAGGAGGGGAAAGUAUGGGAUUCAAUCUGUUUCUUUAAAAGCUGAAGGAUAAACUGAAGAUGAUGUUCAUAAAAACUGUAUUUCCAUUGUUAAGGAGAAAAAUAGAUAGGUAAGCUCAGCCCUCUUUUGAUAAAAGUUGAACAGAGAGGUGAAAAAGGGAAUCCAUUUGUUUAUGCACUUAUCCUAAAGAGAACAUUGAAAGUCAAGGGGGUAUGUCCAGUGGUUUGCAAAGUGGUGUCUCCAGGGGACAUUUACAGUCAAUGUCAUCUACAGAAAGUUGCUGUCUUUGCUAUAGUGAAGGGCAAAUCAUCUCCCAAUUGCGCUGCUUUUCAAGAUUCCAUGAGGAGCUCUACUCUUGAAAAUUUCUGAAUCAAAAUAGAAUCUUAAGGAGUCUAAUUCUAAAUACAAACUUCAUGUGUAAGAUUCUCGCCAUGGCUGUAUGGCAGGUUUUUAAAGAAAGUAUGAGAAUGGUGUAUUUUAUCCAAGUGCUUGUUGCUGUUUUGCUCACUGGUGUCCUAAGCACCUAGAAAAGUCCUUGGCAGUUUUUAGGUGCACAAUAAGUAUUUAAUUUUAUUAUUCCUAAAUUAUUGGUUCGAUGAUUGGGUGUAUACAAGUGCAUAUGUGGAUAUGUGCAUUUGAAUGGAGAGAAAGAAAAAGUACAUGCUUACUCUCUGUGCUAUAAUGUCUCAAAUAUUAAAUCAU